rnacentral:rRNA from 1 species
AGAACGAACGGUGGCGGCGUGGAUAAGACAUGCAAGUCGAACGGGACUUUCAGUGUAGCAAUACAUUGAAAGUUCAGUGGCGUAAGGGUGCGUAACACGUGGGAAAUCUGCCGAGAAGUGGGGGAUAGCUCGCCGAAAGGCGAAUUAAUACCGCAUGUGGUCAGCGAGGACAUCCUCGCGAAACCAAAGCCGGGGCAACCUGGCGCUUCUUGAUGAUCCCGCGGCCUAUCAGCUAGGUUGGCGGGUAAAACGCCCACCAAGCUAUGACGGGUAGCUGGUCUGAGAGGACGACAGCCACACUGGAACUGAGACACGGUCAGACCACCGUACGGGUGCGAGCAGUCGAGUAAUUUUUCACUAAGGUCGGGGAAACCCUGGAAGGACGCGACGCCGCGUGGAGAUGGACGGUCUAGGUAUUACGUAAACUCCGUGUCUAGUAAGGAACUAAAUCCUUACGAAGUUAACC